rnacentral:rRNA from 1 species
UGUUUGUUUCUGUUGGUCGGAAGCGGCCGCGCUAAGGCGCGGCUGCGGAAGGCGGAUGGAAUGAAAUUUUGGGCUGGAUGCGGUGCGGCCUUCACUGAUCGUGCCGCAAAUGGCCCAUCGUUUACUGUGAGAAAAUUAGAGUGUUCAAGGCAGGCGUUUGUAAUUGAAUAUGUUAGCAUGGAAUAAUAAGAUAUGGCUUCCGUGUCUUGUUGGUUUGUGGUAUGGAAGUAAUGAUUGAUAGGGACGGUUGGGGGUGCUAGUAUUCAGCGGCCAGAGGUGAAAUUCAUGGAUUCGCUGAAGACUAACUUCUGCGAAAGCAUU